UCCACCUCUACUGAAUGUAUCCCUCCCCAUUAAAAUGUAUAUAAACUACAAUGUAUCACUGCCUUAGUCAGACUUUUGAUGACUGCAGCUCCACGCAGCAGAGUUCUUUAUAUG